rnacentral:tmRNA from 1 species
GGGGGCGACCUGGUUUCGACGUGGGUCACAAAACCUGAGGUGCAUGCCGAGGAGCAGAUUCCCUCGUAAAUCCAGCUGCAAACAAUUUAGUUGCCAACGACGACAACUACGCAUUAGCUGCUUAAUAACCAGCGUAAUGCCCUCAGCCUGACCUUCCGGGGUGGAUUCGUUAAACUCUUACCGGAAUCGCGCCAAGUCUUCCCUGCCUGUCGGGUAGCCUGGCGUUAAACUAAUAGACAGAAUAAGCAUGUAGAGCCGACGGCGGAGGAUUUGCGGACGCGAGUUCGAUUCUCGCCGCCUCCACCA